rnacentral:rRNA from 1 species
UAAGAAUCUUCCGCAAUGGGGGAAACCCUGACGGAGCGACGCCGCGUGGACGAAGAAGGCCGGAAGGUUGUAAAGUCCUUUUCCUGGGGGAGAAUAAAGAGCGGAGGGAAUGCCGUUUUGAUGACGUGAACCAGGGAAUAAGCCCCGGCUAAUUACGUGCCAGCAGCCGCGGUAACACGUAAGGGGCGAGCGUUGUUCGGAUUUAUUGGGCGUAAAGGGCGUGUAGGCGGUGAGGUAAGGCUGGUGUGAAAUAUCCCGGCUCAACCGGGGGGGCGCGCUGGAAACUGUCUUACUUGAGUGAUGGAGGGGGAGCUGGAAUUCCUGGUGUAGGGGUGAAAUCUGUGGAUAUCAGGAAGAACACCGGAGGCGAAGGCGAGCUCCUGGCCAUUUACUGACGCUGAGGCGCGAAAGCGUGGGGAGCGAAC